GGGUCUGACGCUGUAAACUGGAAGACGAAGUUCUCCCCGGCGAAUGUCCGCAGGUCGCUUUGAGGUCGGUGGAAGGCCGGCGGCUCGUUGACUGAAGACAGGAGGAUGGUUAAGCGACAGGUCAGGGCAUGCUGGGAAACUUAAACAUCCGCUCCUUUGAUCUGCUGAUGGUGACAAACAGGACCUCAGUUGGACGCAUACCGAAGUGUAACAGGCUACUGCGACUGCCACUGCACUCAUACAACCAGGUGAAUUUGGAGGUUUCUGGGUCACAAAGGAGGCAAGGGCUGCUGGGAUUGGAGUCUCCGUCUGUGAAACACAUCCCAUCGAUGUUACAUGUCUUCUCCUGGAAACAGAGACACAAAGAAGAAGCUUUCUUUUAAAUAUUUGGUCGCACACGUCACGGCAGCAUGAUGGGACUGAACAACAGAGGGGGUCCAUCUAACCUCUAGACCUGCUGAGUGAUCGGAAUGCAGCCUCACGGGCCAAGUCACGCAGCUCUGCAGUAUCUGAUGCUUUAGAAGGCAGGUUUUCCUGCAUUUUAUUGAAAGUUUAUCUCUUUAAUUAAACUCGGCUAGAAGCGAUUGGAUUGCAUUAGACAUCUUCUUAAAGUUUUAAAUCGCCUGGUGGCAGCUGCGCAGCAUUUGGAGAGAUACAAAAGGAUUUAGGAUUUGAUAUGAAGUCAUAAAAAGUUUUGC